GGUCGGAGUCCCUCAGACCCGUCUGCAGGUUCUCGGUCUGCAGCAGGCCGGAGUCCUCCCUCAGCAUGUCGUGAUGCUGGAGGCUCCUGAUGACGUCCUGUCACAGAGGAGUCAGGGGAGGCUGAUGGACCCGCUGACAGGAGAUAUCUACCAUCAGACCUUCGUCUGCCCGCCAAACAGCCUGGUGGCUCAGCGCCUGGAGAGGGGGCGGAGCUCCUCAGAGGAGCGGUGGCGGUCUGAGCUGCAGCGGUACCACCUGGAGGUCAGUGGACUGAUGUCAGCCUGUCAGCCCAUCCUGAAGGUCAUCAGCAGCGACCAACCACACACCGACGUCUACCAGCAAGGUACACACACACAGACACACACAGAGACACAGACACACAGAGACACAUACAGAGAGACACACACACAGAGAGACACACACACAGAGACACAGACACACACAGAGAGACACACACACAGAGACACAUACAGAGAGACACAGACACAGAGAGACACACACACAGAGACACAGACACACACAGAGACACACACACAGAGAGACACAGACACACAGACACAGACACACACACACACAGAGACAGAGACACACACACACAGAGACACACACACAGACACACAGAGAGACACAGACACACAGAGACACAUACACACACACAGACACACACACACACACACACACACACACAGACAGACACACACAGACACACACACAAACACACAAGACAGACACACACACAGACAGACAGACACACACACAGACAGACACACACAGACACACACACAGACAGACACACACAGACACACACACACACAGACAGACACACACAGACACACACACAGACAGACACACACAGACACACACACAGACAGACACACACAGACAGACACAUACAGACACACACAGACAGACACACACAGAGACACAGACACACACACAGACAGACACAAACACAGAAAGACACACACAGAGACACAGACACACACACAGAGACACACACAGACAGACACACACAGAGACACAGACACACAGAGACACAGACACAGACACACAGAGACACAGACACACACACAGACACACACACACAGAGACAGACACACAGAGACACAGACACACACACAGAGACACACACAGACAGACACAGACACACACACACAGAGACAGAGACACACACACACAGACACACACACACAGAGACACACAGAGAGACACAGAGACACAUACACACACACAGACACACACAGACACACACACACAGAGACACACACAGACACACACACACACAACAGACAGACACACACAGACAGACACACACAGACACCACACACACAGACAGACACACACAGACAGACACACACACAGACAGACACACACAGACACACACACAGACAGACACACACAGACAGACACAUACAGACACACACACAGACAGACACACACACAGACAGACACACACAGACACACACACACACAGAGACACAGACACACACACAGACAGACACACACAGAGACACAGACACACACACAGAGACACACACACAGACAGACACACACAGAGACACAGACACACACAGAGACACAGACACACACAGAGACACAGACACACAGAGACACAGACACACACAGAGACACAGACACACACACAGAGACACACACACAGACACACACACACAGAGACACAGACACACAGAGACACAGACACACACAGACAGACACACAGAGACAGACACA
ensembl:lncRNA